ACCUUCAAGCACAAAAUUAUGCGCAUUCGCGUGCGCGGUAUGUAUCGGCUCCCUAGUGGACCCGGGUUCGACUCCCAGCAGCAGGUAGCGCAGGGUCAUGCCGAGGGACCAGAGGUCGCAGGCCGCGGUGUAGGACGUGGAGACUCCGAUGACUCGGUCUAGGACUUCGGGCGCCGCGUAGGGGAGGCU